rnacentral:rRNA from 1 species
UACGUAGGGGGCUAGCGUUGUCCGGAAUCAUUGGGCGUAAAGCGCGUGUAGGCGGUUCGGUAAGUCCGCUGUGAAAGUCGGGGGCUCAACCCUCGGAUGCCGGUGGAUACUGUCGGACUAGAGUACGGAAGAGGCGAGUGGAAUUCCUGGUGUAGCGGUGAAAUGCGCAGAUAUCAGGAGGAACACCGGUGGCGAAGGCGGGUCUCUGGGCCGAAAUUGACGCUGAGGAGCGAAAGCGUGGGGAGCAAACAGG